rnacentral:rRNA from 2 species
UGGCGAACGGGUGAGUAACACGUGGGCAAUCUGCCCUGCACUCUGGGACAAGCCCUGGAAACGGGGUCUAAUACCGGAUGACAUCCUCUCUCGCAUGGGAGAGGGUUGAAAGCUCCGGCGGUGCAGGAUGAGCCCGCGGCCUAUCAGCUAGUUGGUGAGGUAGAAGCUCACCAAGGCGACGACGGGUAGCCGGCCUGAGAGGGCGACCGGCCACACUGGGACUGAGACACGGCCCAGACUCCUACGGGAGGCAGCAGUGGGGAAUAUUGCACAAUGGGCGAAAGCCUGAUGCAGCGACGCCGCGUGAGGGAUGACGGCCUUCGGGUUGUAAACCUCUUUCAGCAGGGAAGAAGCGAAAGUGACGGUACCUGCAGAAGAAGCGCCGGCUAACUACGUGCCAGCAGCCGCGGUAAUACGUAGGGCGCAAGCGUUGUCCGGAAUUAUUGGGCGUAAAGAGCUCGUAGGCGGCUUGUCACGUCGGUUGUGAAAGCCCGGGGCUUAACCCCGGGUCUGCAGUCGAUACGGGCAGGCUAGAGUGUGGUAGGGGAGAUCGGAAUUCCUGGUGUAGCGGUGAAAUGCGCAGAUAUCAGGAGGAACACCGGUGGCGAAGGCGGAUCUCUGGGGCCAUUACUGACGCUGAAGGAGCGAAAGCGUGAGGGAGGCGAACAGGAUUAGAUACCCUGGGUAGUCCACGCCGUAAACGGUGGGAACUAGGUGUUGGGCACAUUCCAC